AUUGAACGCUGGCGGCAUGCCUUACACAUGCAAGUCGAACGGUAACAGGUCUUCGGAUGCUGACGAGUGGCGAACGGGUGAGUAAUACAUCGGAACGUGCCUAGUAGUGGGGGAUAACUACUCGAAAGAGUGGCUAAUACCGCAUGAGGUCUACGGAUGAAAGCAGGGGAUCGCAAGACCUUGUGCUACUAGAGCGGCCGAUAUCAGAUUAGCUAGUUGGUGGGGUAAAGGCCUACCAAGGCGACGAUCUGUAGUUGGUCCGAGAGGACGACCAGCCACACUGGGACUGAGACACGGCACAGACUCCUACGGGAGGCAGCAGCGGGGAAUUUUGGACAAUGGGCGAAAGCCUGAUUCAGCAAUGCCGCGUGCAGGAUGAAGGCCUUCGGGUUGUAAGCUGCUUUUGUACGGAACGAAAAGCCCUGGGUUAAUACCCUGGGGUCAUGACGGUACCGUAAGAAUAAGCACCGGCUAACUACGUGCCAGCCGCCGCCGUAA
rnacentral:rRNA from 1 species